UACGUAGGUGGCUAGCGUUGUCCGGAUUUACUGGGCGUAAAGAGCGCGCAGGCGGUCGUUCAAGUCGAGUGUGAAAGCCCCCGGCUCAACUGGGGAGGGUCACUCGAUACUGAUCGACUCGAAGGCAGAAGAGGGAAGCGGAAUUCCCGGUGUAGUGGUGAAAUGCGUAGAUAUCGGGAGGAACACCAGUGGCGAAGGCGGCAUCCUGGACCGGCAUUGACGCUGAGGCGCGAAAGCCAGGGGAGCAAACGGG
rnacentral:rRNA from 1 species